rnacentral:lncRNA from 1 species
UCAAGGGUUUCUUCACAGAGAACUAGAAUUUGGGGCAAGACUUAAAGAGAUCAAGGAUAAGAAAGGAGAAAGAGAGAUUGAAAGAAGAGAAGAGGAAGAAAGGAAAGAAGAAGUGAAGAGAGAGAAAGAAGAAGAGAAAAGAGAGAAAGAAGAAAAAGAGAGAAGAGAAAAAGAAGAGAGAAAACAAGAAGAGAGAAGAGAAGAAGAAAGAAGAGACGAAGAGAGAAAAGAAGA